rnacentral:rRNA from 1 species
UACGGGGGGGGGCAAGCGUUGUUCGGAAUUACUGGGCGUAAAGGGCUCGUAGGCGGCCAACUAAGUCACACGUGAAAUCCCCAGGCUUAACCUGGGAACUGCGUGUGAUACUGGAUGGCUUGAAUUCGGGAGAGGGAUGCAGAAUUCCAGGUGUAGCGGUGAAAUGCGUAGAUAUCAGGAGGAACACCGGUGGCGAAGGCGACCACCUGGACGGAGAUUGACGCUGAGGCGCGAAAGCGUGGGGAGCAAACAGG